UACGUAGGGUCCGAGCGUUGUCCGGAAUUAUUGGGCGUAAAGGGCUCGUAGGCGGUUCGUCACGUCGGGAGUGAAAACUCGGAGCUUAACUCCGAGCCUGCUUCCGAUACGGGCAGACUAGAGGUAGGCAGGGGAGAGCGGAACUCCUGGUGUAGCGGUGGAAUGCGCAGAUAUCAGGAAGAACAUCGGUGGCGAAGGCGGCCAGCUGGGCCGUUGCUGACGCUGAUGCGCGAAAGCGUGGGGAGCAAACAGG
rnacentral:rRNA from 1 species